rnacentral:rRNA from 1 species
CACGCCGUAAACGAUGAUAACUAGCUGCUAGGGCCCACAGGGCUUUGGUGGCGCAGCUAACGCAUUAAGUUAUCCGCCUGGGGAGUACGGUCGCAAGAUUAAAACUCAAAGGAAUUGACGGGGGCCUGCACAAGCGGUGGAGCAUGUGGUUUAAUUCGACGCAACGCGCAGAACCUUACCAGCGUUUGACAUCCUUAUCGCGGAUUCCAGAGAUGGUUUCCUUCAGCUCGGCUGGAUAAGUGACAGGUGC